UACAGAGGGGGCAAGCGUUAUUCGGAAUUAUUGGGCGUAAAGGGCUCGUAGGCGGCCAACUAAGUCAGACGUGAAAUCCCUCGGCUUAACCGGGGAACUGCAUCUGAUACUGGAUGGCUUGAGUUCGGGAGAGGGAUGCGGAAUUCCAGGUGUAGCGGUGAAAUGCGUAGAUAUCUGGAGGAACACCGGUGGCGAAGGCGGCAUCCUGGACCGACACUGACGCUGAGGAGCGAAAGCCAGGGGAGCAAACGGGG
rnacentral:rRNA from 1 species